rnacentral:lncRNA from 1 species
UAGAAGAAAUAAUAAUAAAGGAUAAAGUGUAUAUUGAGAAAAAAAUCAUUAAUGUUGCAUUGAAAUUAUAAAGUGACUUAUAAUUUGGGAUAAUUUUUUUUGGACAAAAUGACUUAUAAUUUGGGACAGAGGAAAUAUUAUACAAGAUUAAUAUAGUAAAAGGAUAAGGGAGUACGAAACAUUUAACUUGACACUCCCUCCCCCACUAAGACCUGAC